rnacentral:lncRNA from 1 species
CCCAUGCUGCCACCAAACACUGUGGUUUUGACCCUAAAACCUCCUGGACCCUUGCUUAAGACCACCGGGAUGCGCAGUGUGUUGGGUUGGGGGGAUAGCAGUGUGUUUGCUUUCAGGAUAGCAGUGCUGCUCAGUGGGAUGUUCUGUGAUGAUGGGGCUGUCCCAUGUCUGCUCUGUCCAAUGUGAUAGCUGCUAGCCACAUGUGGUUACUGACUACCAUACUGGCAGCACACAGAACAUUCUGGAAUGUCAUCACAGAAUUUCUAUCGGACAGUGUCAAGCUAACUGUAAGGUUCUCAAGAAAGGAAAAGGCUAGGGGAGUUGAUGGUGCAAACAAAGGACAGUGUGGGGAGUAAGAGAUUCAAUCAGAGAAACACAGCCACGUCAGCUAGGCUACAGCAGGAGACUGCGUUUCAUUUUAGGACAAAAGGAGGCUGUGGGGUUUAAACCGAGCAGCAGCAGGAAUAUGAGUCAGGAGACUCCGGAAGUGGUCCAAGAGAAAUUACAAUGGACAGGGAGAAGUGGCCAAGCAAAGAGAUGGGUGUGCAUCCUGUAGAAGGGAGAGAAGAGCAAGCUUGCUAAUGGAUGGUGCCAUUUGGAAACAGCAACAGUUUUAAUUAACUCAUUUUACUCACUGUCAUUUACCCUGUCUGGGAAAAAAAACAAGAGAGACUUUCUGAAUGUUCUUAUACCUGAAAGUGAAACUGGUUCACAAAAUAAACACAUACAUAAUCCAAUGCCAAAAACUGGUGAUUUAUAGAAAUCACCCUGG